rnacentral:rRNA from 1 species
CCUACGGGAGGCAGCAGUAGGGGCUAUUGCUCAAUGGGGGAAACCCUGAAGCAGCAACGCCGCGUGAGGGACGACGGUUUUAGGAUUGUAAACCCCUGUCCUCAGUGAAGAUAAUGACGGUAGCUAAGGAGUAAGCACCGGCUAACUCCGUGCCAGCAGCCGCGGUAAUACGGAGGGAGCAAGCGUUACCCGGAAUUACUGGGCGUAAAGGGUGCGUAGGCGGGGUUAUAAGUCAGAUGUGAAAUCCAGGGGCUUAACCCAUGAACUGCCUUUGAAACUGCAACUCUUGAGUGGUGUAGAGGUAGGUGGAAUUCCCGGUGUAGCGGGAAAAUGCGUAGAGAUCGGGAGGAACACUCGUGGCGAAGGCGGCCUGCUGGACUCUAACUGACGCUGAGGCACGAAAGCGUGGGGAGCAAACAGGAUUAGAUACCCCAGUAGUC